rnacentral:lncRNA from 1 species
UUCAAAAAUAUUAUUUCGAGAAAAUUAAAUAUUUAUUCAUAAAAUCUGGGGUCUCACAAUCUCCUCUCCUUAUGAAAUUUCGCCCUCGAAAUUUACGUACGCACUUGGUAUGCUGAACAUGUGAGGAUACCUCGACUUCAUUUCAAAUUCUAACUCUUGAGGUAUAACCUUUGAGUGUUGAAUACGAUUCUUCUUAUCCAAGAUUUUAACACGUAUCUCCUCAAACGUUAAAUCAUCCGCUAUCUCAUCCGGUUCUAAAUUAAUAAUGUGGUUCGGGCCGUUCACAUAUUUACAUAACAUCGAUACGUUAAAAAUAUUAUUAACACGUGACAUACUUGGCGGUAAAACAAGUCUAUAGGCCACAGUUCC